ACUGCCCUUAGUGGCCCUGCAGUUGAGGCUGCUUUGUCAUAUAGGUCAGUUGGUAGCAGAAAGGAGAACAGCUAUGUCUUCACUCAGUGUUUGAUCCAUGAAUAUCUAAAUAAUUAAUAGUUGAACAUU